rnacentral:rRNA from 1 species
CCUACGGGAGGCAGCAGUGGGGAAUCUUGCGCAAUGGGGGAAACCCUGACGCAGCGACGCCGCGUGGGUGAUGAAGGCCUUCGGGUCGUAAAGCCCUGUCAGGUGGGAAGAAACAUGUUGAUGUGAAUAACAUCAACAUCUGACGGUACCACCAGAGGAAGCACCGGCUAACUCCGUGCCAGCAGCCGCGGUAAUACGGAGGGUGCAAGCGUUGUUCGGAAUUACUGGGCGUAAAGCGCGUGUAGGCGGUUGAGCAAGUCAGAUGUGAAAUCCUUCCGCUCAACGGGAGAAGUGCAUUUGAAACUACUCAACUAGAGUACGGGAGAGGAGAGUGGAAUUCCCGGUGUAGAGGUGAAAUUCGUAGAUAUCGGGAGGAACACCGGUGGCGAAGGCGGCUCUCUGGCCCGAUACUGACGCUGAGGCGCGAAAGCGUGGGGAGCAAACAGGAUUAGAUACCCUUGUAGU